UAAAGCUAACAGCUAAUGCUGAAAAAAAAACAAAAUCAAUCAAUUUUUGCAGCACAUUGUUCAAGUUAUUUCUGAGUUAUCAAUAUUACAUUGCAUUCAAUAUUCAGCUCAUAAUAACUAACUAUGCAAGUGCUAUUUUUCAUUUUGCUACCAUUAAAAUUCCAAUUUUACUUCUAAUUAUAGAAAAUUCAUUUCGACCUUGCAUCUUAUUGUGUAUCAAUUAACAGUUUUGCAAAAGGAACGGAAGGUUUGGGUAAUGCUGGUCACAAAAUUUACAAUCAAUCUAAUUCAAAAACGUGUUUUAUUUUGGAAGGAACUUUUGCAGCAUGAAAAAUUCUGCAACAACCAAUUUCAACAGUUUUGAUGCAUUUUUUGCAUAGAAACUUCUAGGCCGUAAACUAAAAUUAACUUGAUUAGGAUUUCCAAAAACAAGUUAUUGUAUUCAAUUUUUGUAUUAAUCAUUAUCUUUUUGAUAUUCUCUUUUUUCAACGAUCUUUUAUUGAAGUUAAUCUGUUUAAUCUGUAUUUGUUCAUUUCAGUUAUGUCAUAGCUUUAUUCACUUCUUUUAGCUUGAACUUAAAAUUUGCACCUAUCUCAGCCCACAAUUUGUUUCAAUGAUUUUAUAUUUACCUGUAACGUUUUCCCCUUUUUGAAACAGUAAUUAUCGGCUCAACCAUCAACUCAAAAAAUUUCCCAAAGAGCAGUGUCCAAAUGGAAGCUAGCUCAUCGUCUCAUGGAGUUCCGCCUACAGAGAACUUGAGCAUUCAAGAUGUCUGGCCAAAGCUUCUUGAAACUCUCAAGGUUGUCCCAGGCCCCCCUGACGCAGUUGAGCAAAUCAACCCCUUCACGAAAUGUGUUCUCAGCCAUCAAAAAGUAAUAAAAAACUUGAUGUUGAGCGAUGUCAAGGGACUUCUUGUGAGGGGACAAAAGUCGGAAAAAGCCACAGAUACUCAGCCAGAAAAACACAGUCACGCAUGUGUUCUGGUACCUGGCCCAAGUUUCCAGAAAAUUAUCAUAAUAAAAACGAUCAGCGAUGUUUCUAAGCAAAACUCCGUUGAAUUAGUUAUCAAUUCGCUGAAAGACCAAUUUCUAGCGUUAGAAGAACAAUACAGUCUCACGAAAGAGGACAUGGUUCUUGUUUUUUGGGCGGAAAAAAAUAUUAAGGAUUGUAAACAAGCUCUCGAACCUGCUUGUAAAAAAGCUCUCAAACAAUCUUGCUUCCCGAAAUUAUGGGAUUUUAUAAAAGACAGAAAUCAACUCGCUCCAAUUAUAUACGACACUGCGUCACAAAACCGGAACUCUGCAGGAAUUUCUCUAUUUGUGAAAAGUCAGAAAAAGGUAACCAAGCAAACGUUGUACCAAAUAACUUCCAAAAAGUUUUUAUGUGGUGGCAACGAUAAAUGUACUUUCAAUAAUAAAGACGAAACUCACCGAGUUUAUGAGAUUUAUUUCUCGGAGUGCAGAGACAAACUUGUUUUUGUUCCGGAUAUUGACAAAAUUUGUGAUAGUUUGUUAUACAAAACAACGGACGACGGUGAAUUGCCGAAAAUAAGUGAGUGGGGAUCUUAUUACGGCGAGGUCACUCUUUUCAUUCAAAAGUACCUAUCGCAGCUAGAGUCACCCAGCGGAAUUAUGUUGAAAAACUAUAGCAGCAAACACUUCGAAACAGUGUUGGAUGAAAACUCAGAGUUACCUGGUGAGUUUGAAACCGAUUGGCUGUAUUUGGGAAAAAACAAAAUAACAGCAAUCGAAAUUGGGCUAUCAGAAAGCAGAGAAAAUAACAAAACCGCCAUUCAAAACAAAAUUCGCCAGGUUUUGACGAAAACAGUGCCACAUUUUCAGCUUGUCAUCUACUCGCUUUGUAUGUUAUUUGAUGAAAAACUUGGCGAAUCAAAGUUCAGAACAAUACUUGGACAUAAUUUCUCAAUGCUAAUUAUCUUCCCAAAUAUAUCAAAGGAGAAAUUCGAAGAAUUCUUAGCAGGUGAGAUAAUGAAUGAAACGAAAGAUCUCAUAAAAUUUAAUGAAAAUGUUCUGGGAUGCCUCAAAUUCGUCUUCGAAGCAGAUUUGAAUCAGAAUUCAUCAAAUCAACAGAACUUACCGAACAAAGUGACUUCCAGUUUGUUCAAAUUGAGUAAAAACCUCACAUUAGAAAAGCUCAGUACUCCCUUUUCGACCAUCUUCAGUUGCGAUAAAUCAACAAAUUGUGAAUUUCUGCCUGAUAUAAACUCAGUUUUGGCACUCUCGAGCUUGAACUUCCUCAAUUUUGUUUCGAAAGAAAAGUGCGACACAACUGACAUAGAUGAUCGAUAUAGGCAAUCGCAAUCCUUCGCAUUGUGGCGAAAGAAAAAAGAAACUCUAACAUACAAUGAGACUGAUUUCAUUUUGAGUCCAGAGCAGCACGCAAUUUUAGCCAAUAACAGCGACGAAAUGAAACGCGUACUUUUUGUCGGUGAAGCAGGAUGCGGGAAGACAUCACUUCUACUAGCAAAAUGCCACAUAUUAGCGGAAAGAAAAGAAGUUGAUCAAAUUUUGUAUUUCGUGCCUGAGAACAGAACAAUGUUCUUUGAAAAACUAAAAAAAAUAAUUCAGCAGUGUGGCAGUGAAGCAGUUAGGAAGAUUUUGACAGUAAAGCGCAAAAAGUCUAACGAAAAUGAUUGGAUGCCCCUCAAGAAAUUGCUAUGGAGGAGUAAGAAGACCUAUGCAAUAAUGUUGGACGAAUUUGAUGCCCUUAGUUUUUUGUUGUUCAUCCACACAAUAGUUGCUCUAAACGCCAAAUAUAUUUGGGUUGCUCAGACUAUCUUCACAACUAAAGAUGCAGCUGAUGCUUGU